GCAGGAGAAGCGGUGCCUGUCUCUCCUCUUGCUAGGCCUGUGCUUUGGAUAGCAGGGGCUGAGCUUCCUGAGAUGUAGCUGCUGCUGCCUGUAAUUUGCAAUUGCAACAGCCCCUGCUGUGCCCAGAGGCCUGCCUGAGCUGCUCUGGGAGAGAUCUCACAGCAAGGUCCUGUUCCUCGCCAAGGUGGGGACUGUCUCUGGCUGUCACUAGUCUCCUAGGGAGACACAGGACUCUGCAGGGGGACAGAAAAGAGAAAUGGCUGCGUUGGAGCCAGCUCAGUCUUGCCAAGACCCAAACGUGAAGCCACAGAUCCCAAGAUGGGGGCAAAUUAAUGGAAAAGUGCCCGGAGCUCAGGACACAGCCACAAAGAGUGUUUUCUGCCUCUGGGCUUCCCAGCGUUGGCAUGUUGGAGUUCAGUGACGUCUGAGGCUGGGUAUGUGAGUGCGAGGUGGGCUUACACCUGGGGGAAAGCAGGCCUGCAUUGAGGGUCCCGUGAGAACGUGGUGCCAGGUCCUGGUGACAUUUGAGGACGUGGCUGUGUAUUUCUCUCGGGAGCAAUGGGGCCUUUUGGAUGAUAUGCAGAGGGCCCUCUACAGGGAUGUCAUGCAGGAGAAUUACCAGACUCUGGUCUCACUGUCAGGAUCUUCC